rnacentral:miRNA from 10 species
GUAUCAUGUGUGUAUAUGUAUAUGUGUGUAUAUAAAUAUUUCAUACACACACACACACACACACACACACAUACAUC